AAAAAUUUCACAUUUUGGGUAGAGCUAGAGUGAAGUUCAAAUUUUCAAGUCACAUUUGCACAUGACAUUCAGCCCUUACUUGUUUCCCGAAGAUUACAACUACGCCUCGAUCCCAAGCUAGUUGAUGCCAGCUAUAUGGAUCAUCCCUCUCCAAAGCCUAAAAAAUACAAUGUUUAAGACAGCACUCAUAAGACAACUGACCUAAAAUGAUGUCCUCUCAAACAAACAACAAUUAAUGUAUACCAGCGAAACCUAGCCCAAUCUUAAUCAACGCGAAAAUACGUUCUGAUGUUUGCUUGAACAUAAGCGAAAUCAUGGGAUGUUACAUCCCUCACCUUAUAAUUAGUUACCUCCCUCACCUGUCCCUUCAUCACCUGGUGUUUCAGCAGUCUUCUCAUCUGUUUCGAUUUGUUCCUUUUCUUUAGGCUCAGUUGUCUCUGGCUUUGCCGGUCCUGGGCCAGCAGAUACCUUGACCAUGGAAGGACGUAAGAGUCUGUCUCCAAGUCUGAAACCUUUGCGAUAUUCUUCAAUUACAACACCUUCUUUAAAUUCUGAGGAAUCCUCGCGCAUUAUAGCUUCAUGCAGCAAUGGGUCGAAUGGCUUCCCAACUGUCUCCACAGGCUCAACACCAAGAGAUCCAAGGAUCUCCAUAAAUUGUUUAGAAAUGCUCUGAUAACUAUUAUUAAUUUUUUCCUCUCCCUCUGUUGCCACCUUGAUUUGCGUUUUCGCUCUCUCAAAAUUGUCCAUAACUGACAAAAGUUUCUCAACAACUUCCCCUUGCGCAUUAGUCACAAGCGAAGCUCUUUCUCUAUCUGUUCUCUUACGGAAGUUGUCGAAGUCGGCACUGAUUCUAAGAACCCGGUCCCUCUCACUUGACAACUCUUUAGUCAAUGAGGCUACUUUUGUCUGAAGUUCGAUUUUCUCAUCUUCUAUGGACUUGAGGGAAAUUUCUAUCUCUGCAACUUUUGAAUCGUCAUUAGUUGCUAAAGCAUCUCUGUAGAGCUGCAAUGAAGCUGCAACGACCGAUAAAGUUUCCUCUGCAGCUGCAUUGUCAUCCUCAUCCGAAGCUUCCUCGGAAGCAGCACCAUCUAAACUCCCCUCCUGCUCGGACUCUUCUACCUGCUCCGUCUCCGUCUCCGUUUCAGCAGCCUCAGCAACAUCCUCAUUUGAUGCAAAGAUAACAAAUUUCUCAACGGACCGAUGCUGCAAUGGCACAAUUGAGUUAGCGGAGUGGUGAAUACGACACCGUCUGGGGAGUAAUGGAGUCUGUCUCCGUCCACAGCGCGAGUAAGAUAAGAAAGUGAUACAAUUAGGUUUGACGGAUGAGUAAGCGGUGGCGCUGACGGUGGUUGACGGCGACCUUAAGGUGGUGGCCGGCGUUGUCAGGUUGGUGGUAGCCAUUGUAUGGUACAGUGGAAAUGGAGGGAGAAGAUAAAGCAGAUAGGCCGG
rnacentral:misc_RNA from 1 species